GAACUCUUAUCAUCUCACUAAUGACGCUUACACUAGCUACAUGCAGAGUAAAGUCUCAUGACAAAUGUCUGUAUUUUGAGGCAGUUUCUCAGAAUUGGAGCAUGAUUACUGAAUAGUUGCUUUUUUAGGGUGUGUCAUGAGCUGAUUCUGUGGCCAGGAAACCACCGUCAAAAGUUAAGUGAGUCCUGGUCUUUUACUGUGUUGUACAAUAAUCUGUAUUAUUCUGUUAUUCUAAUAUUAAUGACCCUUUGCAAAUCAUUUAACAAAGAGAUGUUCUCAACUCUGUGUUGGGUUCCAGGACAGAACCAGACAUUCAGCAGUCAUUUGUCUUUGAUUUUGACUUGUCUGUCAGGGUGGUCAUGGGAAUGUCCUGGUUUCAGUCGUUUCGUCUGUCGUUAGUAUGAGGCGGCAGCCAGCCUUUCCACUGAGCGGUCUUGAUAUUCUGCAUGUCUUUGGUAAGUUUGACAAGAUUUAUCUCUAUCAGAUGUUUUUCGAAAUCACCCUGACGCCAAAACAGAAUAUUUGGUUACUCUAUGGCCCCCUUCCUCAAAUCUUGCCCUGGAGGUCCAAUGCACUGCAGUGUUUAGCUCCAACCCUGAUCAAAGUCACCUGUCUGGGAUUCUCUAAUGAUCCCAAAGACAUUAAUUGGCAUUGAUUAGCAUGCUCAGGUGUGUUCGAUUAGGGUUAGAGCUAAACUCUGCAGGAAAGUGGAUCUCGAGGUCCAGAUUUGAGGAUCCCUGCUCUAUGGUGCUUUUGUCGCACUUUCAAGAACUUCUGUUCAAAUAAGUGUUUUCAUCAGAACUGUGAGGUGCAGAUGGCGGUGUUACAAAUCUGUGCUAAAUGGCUUUCCAAAAAUAUCUGGAAACACAUAAGUCCGUUCCCUUUUCGUGAUGUUUCACCAGUACCAUCUCAUUUCUCAGAAGCAACCCCUUGCCUGCAACACAGGGUGCAGUUUGAUUGUGAGAGGCACUGGAUGCAAAACCGUCCCCAAACUCCCACCAAUCACCAAAUCCAGGAAUAAUUGGAAGGAAUCUGACCCACCCAAGACCACCUUGUAGUUCUGGAUGCAGAGAUAACAAAGCCAAAAAGAUGUCUGUGCAAUCUCUUGGCCCUGUUCCUGAUUGCUCAGCGAUGAUUGGACUCAUGGUCAUCGAGUUCUCCUGUGCACAGCUCAAGUUAUUGCUGUAUAACCAAUCAUCUUUCAUCUGGAAGCCCUGAGGAUCAUUAAACCAUCUGAACUGAACCCCGGGGGCGGCACUGUUCUACAGGUACAGGAAGUGCCUCAGAGGAGCUUUGUAAAGUCAUGCCAUACAAUUUCCUGGGUGUUAGGAUCCCCAGGUACAGGAAUCCUACGUCUGAAUGUAAUAAUUUUUCCAUGGCCUUUCAUUUCUUUUUUUAAAAUCAAUACAAUUUUCUCAGCUGAGUAGAAUCUACUGUGAAAUAGGGGACCAAGGGCAAUUUUCACAUUUUCCAUCAUAGCCUGCUACAGAUGUAUCUGCCAUCCUUUGGCAUAAGAAUGUUUA